rnacentral:lncRNA from 1 species
AUUGAUCGAGCUUCCCCACAGUUGGUGAUGCUAACAAGACAAAUCUUCUGCGUACAUGCUGCAGUGGUGUUUGACAAUAGGAAUUCCCAAUGGCUGCAACACACCAUCUGCUAAGCAUUUGUUGCUUCUCAAUCUGCUGCCGGCAAAUGCAUUUGCAAUUUUGAACCCUACAUGUUUGGAAGCUAUGUCCUCCUGCUUCCUUUUUAGCUUUGCUUUAUGAAUAGAUCAAUAACACGCGGAGAGGUGCG